GAUCAUGGCUCAGGAUGAACGCUAGCGGCAGGCUUAACACAUGCAAGUCGAGGGGCAGCGGGAUGUAGCAAUACAUUGCCGGCGACCGGCGGAUGGGUGCGUAACGCGUAUGCAACCUACCUAUACAGGGGAAUAACCUUUCGAAAGGGAGACUAACACCCCAUGGUAUUGAUUUAAGGCAUCUUAGAUUAAUUAAAUAUUUAUAGGUAUAAGAUGGGCAUGCGUAUGAUUAGCUAGUUGGUAAGGUAACGGCUUACCAAGGCGACGAUCAUUAGGGGUUCUGAGAGGAAGGUCCCCCACACUGGUACUGAGACACGGACCAGACUCCUACGGGAGGCAGCAGUGAGGAAUAUUGGUCAAUGGGCGCAAGCCUGAACCAGCCAUGCCGCGUGCAGGAAGACGGCCUUAUGGGUUGUAAACUGCUUUUACAUAAGACUAACCGUAUAUUUGCGAAUAUACCUGAAUGUAUUAUGAGAAUAAGGAUCGGCUAACUCCGUGCCAGCAGCCGC
rnacentral:rRNA from 1 species